rfam:Gymnopus luxurians FD-317 M1 unplaced genomic scaffold GYMLTscaffold_109, whole genome shotgun sequence.
GGUUCCAUAGCUUAGUGGUUAAAGCACUCUUCCUAGAUUGUAAAGAACUUUUGAAGCAUUUUAAUGCUUAAGAGAGACUUGGGUUCAAUUCCCAAUGGAACCA